rnacentral:rRNA from 1 species
AUACGGAGGAUCCGAGCGUUAUCCGGAUUUAUUGGGUUUAAAGGGUGCGCAGGCGGCCAUUUAAGUCAGCGGUUAAAUCGUGGGGCUCAACCCCAUUCUGCCGUUGAUACUGGGUGGCUUGAUUGCGGCCGAGGUUGGCGGAAUUCGUUGUGUAGCGGUGAAAUGCAUAGAUAUGACGAAGAACACCGAUUGCGUAGGCAGCUGACCAGACCGCAAAUGACUCUCAUGCACGAAAGUGCGGGGAUCGAACAUGAUGAGAUACCCUGGUAGUCCGCACAGUAAACGAUGAAUACUUGUUUUCGGCGAUAUAAUGUCGGAGGCAAAGCGAAAGCGAUAAGUAUUCCCCCUGGGGAGUACGCCGGCAACGGUGAAACUCGAAGGAAUUGACGGGU